ensembl:lncRNA
AGUCUGCAUGAGACAGUGGCAUCACGUGAACGAUUUGCCCCAUGGUCCGACCCACCCAGCCCCGGCUGCUGACGCCCAUGACAUCAGGGCGCUGACCAUCCAGGCUCUAAUGGGCCUGCCCUGCCUCCUGCGUCCGUGUGUCCAUAUGUGCUGUCCCUGCCGUGAUGUCACCACGGUGCAGCCAGACACCCGAGUGGUUAUAGCAGAUGUUCCCCCGGGUGGACCUGCCCAGUCGCUCGGGCCCCCAUGGGUGGGCCUUGCUGCAGUCGGGAGUGGCCGGCCUCUGCCUGCUGCUGCUGCAGGUGCAAAUCCCAGGCCCCGUCCUGGGAAACCAGGCCCUCCAGCCGCUGUCCUGGGCGUGCGGACCUCCUGCUGCUUCCAGCCACCUGAGCAGAAUCCCACGUCCUCUCAGUCCGGGGUCCUCGUCUGCGACGCAGGAAGCCUGAGCCUCUGCUGCCUCCCUCUAGGGACGGUCACGAUGAUGACCAGCGGGAGACGGGGCUUGGGGCCCGGAGUGACCGCCGUGCUGCCAUCCCUCCCGGAGCGGGGAUUUUCUGUCGCCCGUCACUUAAGUGAGAAAAGCGUGCCUGACCCUGCCCCACCGUUCUCUGUUAUGUCUCCUUCCAGGAGAGAAGAAAUCCCAGUAUGUGUCCGGCUACAUCGUCGCCGUCGUCAUCGCCGUUCUCCUUUUCCUCAUCAUUUACUGCUGUAAAGGGCAACGGAAAUUAGCGCCAGGUGUGUGGCCUCACCAGUGGCUGGUCCGCUUCUGGAAGGGUAAGGUGGCUCUUUCAUAUGUUCACAGCAGUUUCUCGCCUCACAGAAGUCAUUGUCCCCACUGACACCGGUUCUGUUCCUUUCUCUUCUUGUUGGUUUUCAGGACGGGCAGAAGGACCAGGCAGCACUAUUUGCCGUCAGCACAGUGAGUCGCUGCUGCCCUCGAAUCCUGAGAGGGACGGGCCAGACCCUGACUUAGAAACGUCCUCGUCGUGUCACCAACUGGAGGAGGACAGCGCCGCCUUGCAACCCGAGCCCGGUCCCCAGCCGGGCCCCUCAGAGGAGGCGGAGGAGGGUGCCGCGCUGCAGCAGAUGGUGGUCGGGGCGAGCCCCGCGGCCCCAGAGCAGGCGCUGUGCGCUGUGGCUCUGGCUGCCCCUGGGCCGCAGGACCAGCCCGCGGCGUCCCUGUCCCUCAGGGCCCUGGAGCAGGAGUAUGAAACUAACUAUUUUGUGAAAGAUUCGUCCAAUGAAGGCAGGAUCUACUAUGGAUUUGAAGAACGGAUUUCCGAUAAAGACUGGAAAACAUUUAUGAGGCUUGUCGGCCUGGAAGACAUUGAUAUUGAGAAAUGCGAACGUGAAAACCGUAACGAUGUGACGGAGCAGCAUCACCAGAUGCUCCUGAGGUGGAGAACCCAGCUGGGCCGGGGAGCGUCUGUGUUUAAACUGUUCGCCGCCCUCCAUAAGAUGCAGCUGCAUAUGCAUUUGGAAAAUAUCAUAAACGGGUUACUUGCGGAAGGCAUCCUGGGCAGACGUGGGGACACCUCAGAUUAGAUCUGGCUCAGGGUUAGGCCUCUAAGUGGGAUCCUGAAUGGAAGUGAUCUGACCUCCUUUCCCAAUUUAUACCUUACUGGAAACUUCUUGAAUUCCUGAUAUAGCUGGAGAAAGUGUGCAAUGGGGAGAUCAGUUCUAUGUGCCAGGGAGAGUGGUUCCUGCCAGGACAAGAUUAAUUGUGGGGACUGUCUGUGGCCAAGGUGGCAGAGGUGGGCGGGAUCUAAGUGGAAUCUAGGAGUCCUGAGCUGGUUGGGCACUGUGCUGGCUCCCCUCACAUUCUCCAGCCCUUUCCCCAGCCACUGAGGCUGGACUUUGGCUUUUUUCCUUGGUCACGUCCUAGAUCUCAGAGAUCUGGGAUGUCCCCAUGACCUAGAACACGGCAGAUGUGUUACUAAGGUUCUCCUAAAUAAGUAGGUCACUAAAUAACUCCUGUUAUAAUAUCUGUUGUAUAUGUUUCAUUUUUUAUUUUUAAGUGUAGUUAACAUUGUUAGUUUUAGGUACAGAACUUAAUGAUUUAAUAUUAUGCUGUAUUUAUCACAAGUAUAGAUUCCAGUUAUAUUAUCGCAUUUUUUUCUGUAUUGUUUUCUUUGUAUUUAUUUUUUUUCGAGAGAAGGAGGGAGGGAGGGAAAGAGAACAAUUGGGCGGAGGGUCGUAUUUAUAGUUUUUUUGAAGGUUUCUUUAAUUUAGCUUAGAGUGUGUGUGAGCAGGGGGAGGGCCGGAAGGAGAGCGAGAGGCAAUCCUAAGCCAACUCCCUGCCCAGUGCAGAUCUUGACCCUGGGCUCCAUCUCACAACCCCAACAUUGACUUGAGCUGAAAUCAAGAGCCAGGUGCUUAAGCAACUGAGCCAGUGAGGAAGCCCUCUAAUUAAGUUUUACCUAAUAAAAUUUAUAUUUUUAAACA